rnacentral:misc_RNA from 1 species
UGGCCUCGGACCCCCUCCCCCGCUCCCGAGUCGACUUGGCUACAGUACAGUGUUCAACAUGUACGCUAAGGGGAAGGGCUCGUCCGUGCCCUCCGAUGCGCAAGCCAGGGAGAAAUUGGCGUUAUAUGUGUACGAAUAUUUACUACACGUUGGUGCCCAGAAAGCUGCACAGACCUUCCUUUCUGAGAUAAGAUGGGAGAAAAAUAUAACUUUAGGAGAGCCGCCGGGGUUCCUGCACUCCUGGUGGUGUGUGUUCUGGGACCUGUAUUGUGCGGCACCGGAGAGGCGGGACACGUGUGAACACUCGAGUGAAGCCAAAGCCUUCCACGACUAUGGAUUUGUAAACUCAGGCUAUGGAGUCAACGGUAUAGCUCAUGUAAGUAGCCAGUCCUGCCCCCAACCUGUACUGCCGGGGAAUGCUGGCCCCGCACCAUCACCGUUAGGUCAGAUGCCUCCUAGUGACGGCAUGGGUCCAGGAGGUCCUAUGCCGCCUGGCUUCUUUCCGCCAUUCAUGUCUCCACGAUAUCCAGGCGGGCCUCGGCCGGGAGUUAGGAUGCCACAGAUGCACAACGACUUCAACGGGCCUCCAGGACAACCGAUUAUGCCCAACAGUAUGGACCCCACUCGUCAGGGAGAUGGAGACUUUGUUGGUUGGCAAGGUAGGAACUCGCCUGGCAAGUUCCCUCUCCACCAAUCAGAUCUUGGAUUGAUCCAUCUCCAUCAGUCAGAGCUCAGGAGUCCACCCGGGAUGAACCCCCGAAUGGCAGGUCCACGAGGACCAGCCAUGGGACCAGGACCAGGUAUGGGUCCCAUGGGUCCAGGAGCAUAUGCCCCAGGAAUGAGGGGACCACCACCUAGCAGUAUGGGUCCUGCUGGGCCAGGUGGACCAGGAGGACCAGGACCUGGGGGCCCUGGGCCAGGCAUGCCUCCAAUGACUAUGGGAGGGCCUGGCCCUAGACAACCAUGGACGCCAAACACAUCUACCCCUAUGAGUUACUCCUCGUCCUCACCUGGGACCUACGGUGGCAUGAUGGGUCCACCGGGGUCUGCUGGCCCACCUGGUCCUGGCACACCCAUCAUGCCCAGUCCUCAAGGGUCGAGUGGAGCUUUCUCUCCCGCCCGCCUGCCUCCCACCCCGCGGCCAGACACAUCAAGCAGUGGGGCUGAUGGAAUGUUCCCAAUGAUGAAGCCAGUACCUGGAGGAGGGAUGCCUGGGGACUUCCCUCUGGGUAGUGGCCCUGAUGGGCCCAUGGGUGGCCCUAUGGGCCCCAACACCAUGGGGCCUGUUAUGAAUGGUGAUGGCUUGGAUGGCAUGAAGAACUCACCUGCUAAUGGUCCUGGGACGCCGCGGGACGACGGAGGCGGCAUGGGGGACUACAAUCUGGGAGGCUUCGGGGGCCCACAGGAGAGUAUAUUUAGAUGAAUGCUAUAGUGAAAAUGGAUCUUCUUCUUCAUUGGAAACUGGAUCAUGAACUUAAACAGGACCAGAAUGAGUCGGCUGCCAUUUUAAAGAUCAAGGAGAGUAUGCAAGAAGAAGCAAAGCGAUUUGAAAAGGACGUUCCACCAGAUCAUCCAGACUACUUUAUGCCGUGACGUGACC